rnacentral:pre_miRNA from 1 species
UUUACCGAGCAGUCAAUUCCCUUUUCGUUCGCUCCACAUGUCAAUCGUUGAUUCGAGUACGAAUGACAAGUGCAGAUGGCGAGAAGGUAGACUCCGGUGAAC